UACGUAGGGCGCGAGCGUUGUCCGGAAUUAUUGGGCGUAAAGAGCUCGUAGGCGGCCUGUUGCGUCCGCUGUGAAAGCCCGGGGCUUAACCCCGUGCCUGCUUCCGAUACGGGCAGACUAGAGGUAUGCAGGGGAGAACGGAAUUCCUGGUGUAGCGGUGAAAUGCGCAGAUAUCAGGAGGAACACCGGUGGCGAAGGCGGUUCUCUGGGCAUUACCUGACGCUGAGGAGCGAAAGUGUGGGGAGCGAACAGG
rnacentral:rRNA from 1 species